CUACGGAGGGUGCAAGCGUUACUCGGAAUCACUGGGCGUAAAGCGCGCGCAGGCGGCUAUUUAAGUUGGAUGUGAAAGCCUACGGCUCAACCGUAGAACUGCAUCCAAAACUAUUUAGCUAGAGUGUGGGAGAGGAAGAUGGAAUUAGUUGUGUAGGGGUAAAAUCCGUAGAGAUAACUAGGAAUACCAAAAGCGAAGGCAAUCUUCUGGAACACUACUGACGCUGAGGCGCGAAAGCGUGGGGAGCAAACGGGAUUAGAUACCCCAGUAGUCC
rnacentral:rRNA from 1 species